CAGCCGCCGCGGGAAUACCGAGGGUGCGAGCGUUAAUCGGAUUUACUGGGCGUAAAGCGUGCGUAGGCGGCUUCUUAAGUCGGAUGUGAAAUCCCUGAGCUUAACUUAGGAAUUGCAUUCGAUACUGGGAAGCUAGAGUAUGGGAGAGGAUGGUAGAAUUCCAGGUGUAGCGGUGAAAUGCGUAGAGAUCUGGAGGAAUACCGAUGGCGAAGGCAGCCAUCUGGCCUAAUACUGACGCUGAGGUACGAAAGCAUGGGGAGCAAACAGGAUUAGAUACCCCCGUAGUCCAUGUCUCUUAUAC
rnacentral:rRNA from 1 species